GGACCGGAUGUCCUGAAAUGUGUGGACAUGACGUUCAACAAAUAGGACGUCGAAAGUCUACCUCUUCAGAAAGAUCGCCAGAACGAUCAGGCCAAUAACAACGGCUACGCCGAUCGCCCAGGUCGAGAGCCGGAUGUCACUCUUCAGCUCGCGCUUGGCUUCGUUCUCGGCGAUCUUUAAAUUGCGUUUUCGGUCGUCCUGCUCCGGAUCACUCACGGCUUCUCCUG
rnacentral:misc_RNA from 1 species